AACGAACGCUGGCGGCGUGCUUAACACAUGCAAGUCGAACGCGAAAGGGACUUCGGUCCUGAGUAAAGUGGCGCACGGGUGAGUAACGCGUAGAUAACCUGUCUUCAUGUCUGGAAUAAUACGCCGAAAGGGGUACUAAUACCGGAUAUUCUUGCUUUUCAUAAGUUAUGCAAGCAAAGGUGGCCUCUGCAUAUGCUACUGCAUGAAGAGGGGUCUGCGUACCAUUAGCUAGUAGGUGGGGUAAUGGCCUACCUAGGCGACGAUGGUUGGCGGGUCUGAGAGGAUGAUCCGCCACACUGGCACUGGAACACGGGCCAGACUCCUACGGGAGGCAGCAGUGAGGAAUAUUGCGCAAUGGGGGAAACCCUGACGCAGCGACGCCGCGUGAGUGAGGGAAAGGCCUUCGGGUCGUAAAGCUCUGUCAAGAGGAAAGAAGUGUACAAUGGCUAAUACCUGUUGUAUUUGACGGUACCUCUAAAGGAAGCACCGGCUAACUCCGUGCCAGCAGCAGC
rnacentral:rRNA from 1 species